CUUCGGUGGCGCGCGGCGCAGACUUGGGUCGCCCGGCGGAGUGGGGACCGCGAGGCGCGCGCUCAAGGAGGGCCGGGGGCGCGGGUCCGUCGCCUCCUUGCCAUGGGGUCUCCAGGGCGCCGACCAGCGGGAAGGGACUCUCAGGGGUCGCCCCUCUGUCGUCCCACCGCUGUGGGAUCCGCGCGCCCCGGCUGAAAGUGCGCAGAGGCCGGAGGCCAACCUUCCCUCCAGCGGCGGAGGGCCUGGGGGGGGGGCGCAGCCCGGGGCGCCCCCCCCCCCCCCCCCGCACAAGAUGCCCGGCUGCAGGCAAUGGGUGCCAAAGGACCGGGUCCUUGACAGCGGGUGGGAUACUAAAACAUCUCUCCGAAGACCCCGGGGAUCGGAGGCAGGUCUUUAGGAGGUCUUUCUGCUCCAGCUGGCCGCAGUCCCUCCUGGUGCAGAGCCAGCCCCAGUGGGCAUUUUGAGAGCCCUCUGAGCCAGGCACAGAGGGAGUGUGUCCUGAGGGGCUUGCAGUCCCCGCAAAGGACCCAGGCUGAACCCAACCACAUGCAGACACUGUCCCCAGGAACCAGGCCCUGCUUCUUCCAGCCUACUGCCCCCCAGCCAGUGAUGCUCAUUUUCAACCCCUGGGAUCUACUGGAGCAUGGCCAGCAGCCUGACACCCCUGUGGGUUUAACAACUCUUGGAGUGUGGACAGUGCCACAGGCCCCUGUGCUCCCCCAGUCACUCCACAAUGAUCCCCUCCACACCUACCUGUCACUGCUGUCCUGGCCAUAAGGAUGGGGGAUUCCCACAGGACAGGGAGGUGUCCAGAGGGUGGACAUUAUGGCAGCCAGGUCAUACCACCAAUAGAGUGUGCACAGCCACCAGGGGUCAUUUCUCCAGUCCUAGAACAGAGAGGGACAGAUAUACCUAACCAUAGUAGCAGAAAAGUCUAGUGCAGACCUCUGCAACUGUCCUCGACAAAGAGUAAACCACAAGUGUGACAUCCUGGAAGUUAUUUUAAGACCCAAAAGAUGCUAGGGUGGUGGUCCCUGGCAUCUUCGUAGAUGUCUGGCCCCUACAGGGGCAUGUGGGUGGGCCCAGAGGGAGGGCACUGCAAAAACAACCCAAAUAGCACCAGACCUGGGUCUUCAGGAGAGCGAGUUUCCCUGGCUCCAGAGCUGUGGUGUGGCCCCCACCCAGCAGGAGGGUCUGCAGGCUCAUGGCACACGGAGUGCACACGUGGCCCUUCCCCAGGGCUGUGGUGAUUCUCACCCUCCCAACAGUCUGGAGCCCUGCACUGAGGGAUAUCCUGGAACAUCACACAGGCCUCUGUGCCAGUGUCCCCGCUAAUGACACCAGAUGGCAGAGAAGUGGCCAGCACCCUGGGUACUUGUGGGACACAUGCACUGGAAUGAGGAUCCCCUCUGAGCAGGGUCAACAUGGCUGCACCCUGCGACCUUCACUACAAAGAAUGCACAGCAUGCGAAGGCAGCAGUGGCCAUGAAGCAGGAGCUCCACACUUGGGGCUGAUGCAGCCCAACACUGGGGACACCAAAGGGCAACUCUGACUGGGGCACCCAAACAGGAGCAGCCUGCACACAAGUGUCCCCAGUGACCUGACCCUAUAGACGGACACUCUAAUGGGUCAACCUGGGUUCAAAACCAGCCUCAGCAACUAGGUUUAUGGCCAAGUGACUGUGGAAGGCCCUGCAGACAGCCCAGAUGCAGAGCAAGGCUGACCCUGGAGGAGAGGCAAUGCCUGGCCAUAGGACACUCGUGACAGUGUGCUUGGACUGACCAUGGCACCAGCUCUUUUGGAUCUGCCCUCUGUAAGUUUGGAUGGUCCAGGGAUGGUCAUUACGGGCGGAGAGGGUGCGCCUGGGAGCGCAGAACACAGUGCGCAGUGGUGCAGCCUGCAUGGACCUGCCACGUGGCACCAGUACCCCUGCACCUCUGCUUGGCCCUGGGCUCAGGUAGUGGCCGGACAGGGGUUCCUAUGGCCAGCUGACUUAGGGAGAGUCAGGACCAGCAUGCGGGUAGUGGCCAUCUGCCAAGUAGAAUAGUGGAUAAGUGGCCUGUCUGGCUGUUCAGGGGACUGGUCAGAGAAAGAUGGAGCUGUCAGGAUGAGGGGGUUGGGGAGAGCUAUGCAGAUGGCCUAACACACAGAUGUGGACUUUUUGUUUUUGAUACUAGGGACUGAACUCAGAGGUACUUAGCUAACCACUGAGCAACACUCCAGCCCCCUUUUUAUAUUUUACUUAGAGAUGGGGUCUUGCUGAGUUGCUUAGGGCCUUGCUAAGCUACUGAGGCUGGCUUUGAACUCGUGAUCCUCCUGCCUCAGCCUCCCAAGCCCCUGGGAUUAUAGAUAUGUGCCACUGCACCUGGCCCUUUUUAUUUUUUAUUUAGUGACAGGACCUCACUAAGUUGCUGAGGCUGACCUUGAACUUGCAAUCCUCCUGCUUCAGAUUUCAGUUGCUGGGAUUACAGGUGUGGCCACUGUGUCUGGCUAGAUAUGGACAAUUUAAAUUCCUUUU
rnacentral:lncRNA from 1 species